rnacentral:rRNA from 1 species
UACAGAGGUGGCAAGCGUUGUUCGGAAUUACUGGGCGUAAAGGGCGCGUAGGCGGUUCGAUAAGUCCUGUGUGAAAUCCCUCGGCUCAACUGAGGAACUGCACGGGAGACUGUCGGGCUUGAGUUCGGGAGAGGGAAGCGGAAUUCCGGGUGUAGCGGUGAAAUGCGUAGAUAUCCGGAGGAACACCGGUGGCGAAGGCGGCUUCCUGGACCGACACUGACGCUGAGGCGCAAAAGCUAGGGGAGCAAACGGG